CAGCCGCCGCGGGAAUAUGUAGGGGGCAAGCGUUAUCCGGAGUUACUGGGUGUAAAGGGAGCGUAGACGGUUAAACAAGUCUGAAGUGAAAUGCCGGGGCUCAACCCCGGAGCUGCUUUGGGAACUGUAGAACUGGAGUGUCGGAGGGGUAAGCGGAAUUCCCAGUGUAGCGGUGAAAUGCGUAGAUAUUGGGAGGAACACCGGCGGCGAAGGCGGCUUACUGGACGACAACUGACGUUGAGGCUCGAAGGCGUGGGUAGCAAACAGGAUUAGAUACCCGAGUAGUCCCUGUCUCUUAUAC
rnacentral:rRNA from 1 species